AGUGAACGCUGGCGGUAGGCCUAACACAUGCAAGUCGAACGGCAGCACAGUAAGAGCUUGCUCUUACGGGUGGCGAGUGGCGGACGGGUGAGGAAUACAUCGGAAUCUACUUUUUCGUGGGGGAUAACGUAGGGAAACUUACGCUAAUACCGCAUACGACCUACGGGUGAAAGCAGGGGAUCUUCGGACCUUGCGCGAUUGAAUGAGCCGAUGUCGGAUUAGCUAGUUGGCGGGGUAAAGGCCCACCAAGGCGACGAUCCGUAGCUGGUCUGAGAGGAUGAUCAGCCACACUGGAACUGAGACACGGUACAGACUCCUACGGGAGGCAGCAGUGGGGAAUAUUGGACAAUGGGCGCAAGCCUGAUCCAGCCAUACCGCGUGGGUGAAGAAGGCCUGCGGGUUGUAAAGCCCUUUUGUUGGGAAAGAAAAGCAGCAGGUUAAUACCCCGCUGUUCUGACGGUACCCAAAGAAUAAGCACCGGCUAACUUCGUG
rnacentral:rRNA from 1 species